GAGGGUAUAGCUCAGUGGUAGAGUGCCUGCUUAGGAUGCACACGUCCUGGGUUCAAUCCCCAGUACCUCCA
rnacentral:tRNA from 1 species